rnacentral:rRNA from 1 species
AACGAACGCUGGCGGCAGGCCUAACACAUGCAAGUCGAACGCCCAGCAAUGGGAGUGGCGCACGGGUGAGUAACGCGUGGGAACGUGCCCUUUGCUACGGAAUAGCCCUGGGAAACUGGGAGUAAUACCGUAUGUGCCCGAGAGGGGAAAGAUUUAUCGGCAAAGGAUCGGCCCGCGUUGGAUUAGGUAGUUGGUGGGGUAAUGGCCUACCAAGCCGACGAUCCAUAGCUGGUUUGAGAGGAUGAUCAGCCACACUGGGACUGAGACACGGCCCAGACUCCUACGGGAGGCAGCAGUGGGGAAUCUUAGACAAUGGGCGCAAGCCUGAUCUAGCCAUGCCGCGUGAGCGAUGAAGGCCUUAGGGUUGUAAAGCUCUUUCAGUGGGGAAGAUAAUGACGGUACCCACAGAAGAAGCCCCGGCUAACUCCGUGCCAGCCGCCGCAGUAAUAC